UUCGGUUGGUUUAGUUUUUCGGUUUUUUUGCUCACCCCUAAUUGGGUGUCCCAUCACUCCCUUUUCUCUUUAAUGAUGUGUGGCAUCUCCAACAAUUCAACCAGUAAGGUGGGCUACUUUUUGAUACCUACAAUGAGCUUUGCCAAAAAAAAGUUGAGACUCAUCUUUUGGGCCCAAAUCCAUCUCCAAACUCAAUAAAGAACAGGCCAGGUUGGGCUGACCCAUUUGGCUACCUGGCUCAUGAGCAGGUCUACCUACAAAAAACCAAAGAUGCCAUCAUGUAUUCCUUCACUCUCUAGGGCUAGGGCUGAGCUAGGGCUGCAACUUGGGCUAGGUUAGGCCAACCCAACUCAACCCUAACCCAACCUAACUUUAUAUUUGUAUGUACAAUUAUUAUAUAAAUACUUAUGUAUAUCUGUAAUGCAUGUGGCAUGUAUGUAUAUGUACAAAUAUGCACCUAUGAAUUAAUAUAUGUAUUUAUGUAUAGACAAUAUGAAUGUCAAUAAUUUUAAGUUUAAAGGCAAAUGUUUAAGAAGCAUGAUUACUAUGCCCUUUUACAUAUAAUAAUGCUAAAACUGGAUUGAUCUUUUAUUGUGAAGCCAAAAAUGGCUGAGUCAAAACUAAAUUGAUCUCAACCCUUGAGUUUUAGAGACAAGAAUAUUGAUAAAAGGAAGUAGAAAAAUCAAAUCAACCUAAACCCAACCUGGUCCCAAAUUUACCCAAAAACUAUGGAUUGGAUUAUGGUUAGAAUCGGGGGUUCCGCAGCUCGGAUUGGGUCAGGGUUGAUGCCAAUCCGCUACAAGAAAAAACGGUCAAAGCCGGCGGUCACAAGAACCGCCGUUAUAGGAAUAUCUAAGGCGGCAGAAAAGAUCGCCACCUACAUUGGUUUAAAAGGCUGACGCGGCGGUCUAUAACAAUACCUUUGGCGGAUUUUAUAACCAAACCGGAAUUAAAACGGUCUAAAUUCCGGUUCAAUAGACCAAACGCGGGGAGGCAAAAUUUUCCUUCUCCCGCACGAAGGCUCCUUCUAUUCGACAAGAUAAAUUACAGAGAAAUUUAUCCCGCGCGAAGGUUCUCUUUCCAGCAGAGAACCUUCUUGGAGAGAAGUUUUGAAGAAGACAGAAGGUUCACGAGCAAGAUAAAUUACAGAGGAGAAUCAGUGUUGUGCUUUAAAAAAGCUUUCUUUCUUCACGAGUGAGAUAAAUUGUAGAGCAGAAUCAGUUUUCUUCACGAGCAAGGUAGAAGACUUCUUCGAUUGAAAAAAAUUGUAGAGCAGAAUCAGUUUUCUCUACGAGCAAGGUAGCAGACUUCUUCGAUUGAGAAGGGGAAAGAUCCCUUUAUACUUGAGAAUGGGAAAUUACUGGGCAUCCAGCACCGACCUGUUCGUUCAAGCAAGAGAAGGGUGUUGGUUCUGGUGCUCAAAGUGAUGUUUUUUUCUUAUCAUGGAAUGACAAGGUUCAGCAUAUACUUGCAUCCACUUCACAUAAUGGGACGACAGUUUGUCAGAUUCAAAUAGAAGGUGAAGCUCUGUUUUACAAUGGAAUCUUGAUAUUACAACUCAGCUUGUUGUUGCAUCUGAUGAUGACAGUUCACCUUCUCUAAGGUUGUGGGAAAUGAGGAACCCAAUAUCACCAUCAAAAGAAUUUGUUGGACACAUUCGUGUUCAUUUGAGAGCUCCUAAGUGGUUGAAACGUCCAGUUGGGGCCUCUUUUGGUUUUGGUGGGAAGUUUGUUUCAUUUCACCUGGGUCCAACUACGGGUGUCUAAACCGGAAAUUCUCAGGUUUAUGUGCAUAAUUUGGUCACUGAACCAAGCACAUCAUUUGACUUAAUAAUUUAUGUUUCUCAAUGCUUUAGUACCAUGU